GCGCUUAUAACUCAGUGGUAGAGUGCGAGAUUGCAGAUCUUGAAGUCUCCGGUUCGAUCCCGGAUGGGCGCU
rnacentral:tRNA from 1 species